rnacentral:rRNA from 1 species
ACGGAAGGCAGCAGUGGGGAAUAUUGCACAAUGGGCGAAAGCCUGAUGCAGCGACGCCGCGUGAGUGAAGAAGUAUCUCGGUAUGUAAAGCUCUAUCAGCAGGGAAGAAAAUGACGGUACCUGACUAAGAAGCCCCGGCUAACUACGUGCCGGCAGCCGCGGUAAUACGUAGGGGGCAAGCGUUAUCCGGAUUUACUGGGUGUAAAGGGAGCGUAGACGGUUUGGCAAGUCUGAAGUGAAAUGCGGGGGCUCAACUCCUGAACUGCUUUGGAAACUGUCGAACUAGAGUGCAGGAGAGGUAAGUGGAAUUCCUAGUGUAGCGGUGAAAUGCGUAGAUAUUAGGAGGAACACCAGUGGCGAAGGCGGCUUACUGGACUGUAACUGACGUUGAGGCUCGAAAGCGUGGGGAGCAAACAGGAUUAGAUACCCUGGUA